rnacentral:rRNA from 1 species
GACGAACGCUGGCGGCAUGCCUAACACAUGCAAGUCGAGCGAGCAGAUCCCUUCGGGGUGAAGCUAGCGGCGGACGGGUGAGUAACACGUGGGCAACCUGCCUCAUAGAGGGGAAUAACCUUCCGAAAGGAAGAUUAAUACCGCAUAAGAUUGUAGCUUCGCAUGAAGCAGCAAUUAAAGGAGCAAUCCGCUAUGAGAUGGGCCCGCGGCGCAUUAGCUAGUUGGUGAGGUAACGGCUCACCAAGGCGACGAUGCGUAGCCGACCUGAGAGGGUGAUCGGCCACAUUGGGACUGAGACACGGCCCAGACUCCUACGGGAGGCAGCAGUGGGGAAUAUUGCACAAUGGGGGAAACCCUGAUGCAGCAAUGCCGCGUGAGUGAUGACGGCCUUCGGGUUGUAAAGCACUGUCUUUGGGGACGAUAAUGACGGUACCCGAGGAGGAAGCCACGGCUAACUACGUGCCAGCCGCCGCAGUAA